CCUACGGGAGGCAGCAGUGAGGAAUAUUGGUCAAUGGGCGUGAGCCUGAACCAGCCAAGUAGCGUGAAGGAUGACUGCCCUACGGGUUGUAAACUUCUUUUAUAAAGGAAUAAAGUGAGGCACGUGUGCCUUUUUGUAUGUACUUUAUGAUUAAGGAUCGGCUAACUCCGUGCCAGCAGCCGCGGUAAUACGGAGGAUCCGAGCGUUAUCCGGAUUUAUUGGGUUUAAAGGGAGCGUAGAUGGGUUGUUAAGUCAGUUGUGAAUGUUUGCGGCUCAAGCGUAAAAUUGCAAUUGAUACUGGCGGUCUUGAAUACGGAUGCGGUAGGCGGAAUUCGUGGUGUAGCGGUGAAAUGCUUAGAUAUCACGAAGAACUCCGAUUGCGAAGGCAGCUUACGAAACUGCCACUGACAUUGAUGCUCGAAAGUGUGGGUAUCAAACAGGAUUAGAUACCCGAGUAGUC
rnacentral:rRNA from 1 species